rnacentral:rRNA from 1 species
CCUACGGGAGGCAGCAGUGAGGAAUAUUGGUCAAUGGACGAGAGUCUGAACCAGCCAAGUAGCGUGAAGGAUGACUGCCCUAUGGGUUGUAAACUUCUUUUAUAAAGGAAUAAAACGAGGCACGUGUGCCUUUUUGCAUGUACUUUAUGAAUAAGGAUCGGCUAACUCCGUGCCAGCAGCCGCGGUAAUACGGAGGAUCCGAGCGUUAUCCGGCUUUAGUGGGUAUAAAGGGAGCGUAGAUGGGUUGUUAAGUCAGUUGUGAAAGUUUGCGGCUCAACCGUAAAAUUGCAAUUGAUACUGGCAGUCUUGAGUACAGUUGAGGUAGGCGGAAUUCGUGGUGUAGCGGUGAAAUGCUUAGAUAUCACGAAGAACCCCGAUUGCGAAGGCAGCUUACUAAACUGUGACUGACAUUGAUGCUCGAAAGUGUGGGUAUCAAACAGGAGUAGAUACCCUUGUAGUC